rnacentral:lncRNA from 1 species
UGAAGUGGAAGUGGGGCUAGAAACCCAAGUUGGCUUCCUGGUUGUUCUGGUGCAGUUUCAGCAGAGGUUGUGGCUUGGCUCUCUGCGCUUCUUAGGUGUUUCAGAGCUCUCCUACCAUGUAAGGUAUGGCCAUUAUGUAUCUGUAUACUCUUUCACUCUGACACUAUUCUAAGAACAAUCUUAGCUCUCCCGUACUGGUCUGUCGUGACCUCCUUCCAGUAAGCUCUGUGACAGCCACGGACCAUCUUUCAAACCUAAUUACCGCUUCCUGACUUAUGAGGUGCUCCUAAGCUACUCAAAAUCUUGCUGCUAAAAACAUCUGAUACUAGCUUUUGUUGUAAUAAGAAAGUGGACUUUCUGGUGUGGCACAAUGGACAUCACUAGAAGGCUGGAGAUUACCCCUUCCAGCCGCUUGUGUUCUAACACAGUAACUCGGAGUCUUAGGUGCCUGGACUGAGCCUUGACCCAGGCUACCCCCACUUUUCCUGGAAGCUUCCAGGUUAACUCCUGGUGUGCUAAGCAGCCCCAAGGCUCCUUCCUGCGCGCUCUGCUGGAGGCAGCAUGGAGUUUGUGGGAAAGCGGCUACUUGUGGCAUUUGAAGGCAGCCCUAAUAGAAGACCUUAGUUUCGCCUUCUUCUCUCGGCACUUUCUCUCUCCCCGCACCCCACGGGCCUGGGCCGGCAAGAGGUCUCGAGGGACAGAGAAGCCAUGGCUCUAAAAGGACAAGAAGAUUACAUUUAUCUUUUCAAGGAUUCGUCGCAUCCAGUGGAUUUUCUGGAUGCAUUCAGAACAUUUUACAUGGAUGGAUUAUUUACCGAUAUUACCCUUCAGUGUCCUUCAGGCAUCAUCUUCCAUUGUCACCGAGCUGUUUUAGCUGCCUGCAGCAAUUAUUUUAAGGCAAUGUUCACAGCUGACAUGAAAGAAAAAUUUAAAAGUAAAAUAAAACUGUCCGGCAUCCACCACGAUAUUUUGGAAGGCCUUGUAAAUUAUGCAUACACUUCUCAAAUUGAAAUAACUAAAAGAAAUGUGCAAAGCCUUCUUGAAGCAGCCGAUCUGCUUCAGUUCCUUUCGGUAAAGAAGGCUUGCGAGCAGUUUCUGGUCAGGCACCUGGAUAUUGAUAACUGUAUCGGGAUGCACUCUUUUGCAGAAUUUCAUGUGUGCUCUGAACUAGAAAAGGAGUCCCGAAGGAUUCUCUGCUCCAGGUUCAA